CGGCCAGAGAGGGUGAAAGCCCCGUAAGCGAAAGAUGAGUUGACAUGGCGGUAUCCAGAGUAGGUCGAGACACGUGGAACCUUGACUGAACACGCGGGGACCACCCCGUAAGGCUAAAUACUCCUUAGUGACCGAUAGCGCAUAGUACUGUGAAGGAACGGUGAAAAGGACCCCGGGAGGGGAGUGAAACAGAACCUGAAACCAUAUGUUUACAAGCUGUGGAACCAUGUUUUAUGUGGAACCGCGUACUUUUUGUAGAACGGUCCGGCGAGUUGCGCUGGCUGGCGAGGUUAAGCACCAAAGGUGUGGAGCCGAAGGGAAACCAAGUCUUAAUAGGGCGAAAGAGUCAGUCGGAGCAGACCCGAAACCGGGUGAUCUAUCCAUGUCCAGGUUGAAGUUGCCGUAAAAGGCAAUGGAGGACCGAACCCACAUCCGUUGAAAAGGGUGGGGAUGAGGUGUGGAUAGGGGAGAAAUUCCAAUCGAACCCGGAGAUAGCUGGUUCUCCUCGAAAUAGCUUUAGGGCUAGCCUCAUAUAAGUCUUGCGGAGGUAGAGCACUGAAUUUCCUAGGGGGCGUCAAAGCUUACCGAAGAAUAUCAAACUCCGAAUGCCGUGUAGAUGUUGUAUGGGAGUCAGACUGUACGAGAUAAGUUGGACAGUCAAAAGGGAAAGAGCCCAGACCUGCAGCUAAGGCCCCAAAAUGUGUGUUAAGUGGAAAAGGAUGUGGGAUUUCAAAGACAACUAGGAUGUUGGCUUAGAAGCAGCCAUACAUUCAAAGAGUGCGUAAUAGCUCACUAGUCGAGAGGUCCUGCGCCGAAAAUGUCCGGGGCUGAAACACACUGCCGAAGCUCAGGAAUUAACUGAUGUUAAUUGGUAGAGGAGCAUUGUAUACGGGACGAAGCAGUACCGAUAAGGAGCUGUGGACUGUAUAGAAGAGAGAAUGCCGGAAUGAGUAGCGAGAGGAAGGUGAGAAUCCUUCCGGCCGAAUAUCUAAGGUUUCCAGAGUAAAGCUGAUCUGCUCUGGGUAAGUCGGGGCCUAAGGCCAGGUCGAAAGACGUAACCGAUGGACAACAGGUUGAAAUUCCUGUACCUUAAGUAAACAGAACUGUGGGGACACGUGUGGAGAGCACAAGCCGGAAAUGGAAAAGCCGGUGCAAGCGAGGUAGGAGAUGAAUAGGCAAAUCCGUUCAUCAAUCCGAAGACGUGAUGCGGACCGAAUUAAGAGUAGGGAAGUGUGUGAGCCAUGCGUCAAGAAAAGCCGCUAUUGUUUUACUUAAGCCCGUACCGUAAACCGACACAGGUGGAUGAGGAGAGAAUCCUAAGGCCGACGGGAGAAGCAUUGUUAAGGAACUCGGCAAAAUGACUCCGUAACUUCGGGAGAAGGAGUGCCAGCGAGAGCUGGCCGCAGAGAAUUGGCCCAAGCAACUGUUUAGCAAAAACACAGGUCUAUGCAAAACCGUAAGGUGAAGUAUAUGGGCUGACGCCUGCCCGGUGCUGGAAGGUUAAGAGGAGAGGUUAGCGGUGACGCGAAGCUUUGAAUUUAAGCCCCAGUAAACGGCGGCCGUAACUAUAACGGUCCUAAGGUAGCGAAAUUCCUUGUCGGGUAAGUUCCGACCCGGACG
rnacentral:rRNA from 1 species